AUCAAGUCGUACACGGGUAGUAACAGGACAAGCAGGUGUCCUGUCAUCUGGAAGUAUGGCCCUUUGGAUUAUUGAAUGGAGGAGCUCAACAAUGGAGAUGAAGGUAUUUCAGACACCAAGGAGGGGGAAACAACCCUCUUGAAUCCCCUCUGGAGGACCUUGACGAUGUGGAUUUAGGAGGCUGGAAGUGUGGACAACUUUGCUUUAAA